UACGGGGGGGGCAAGCGUUGUUCGGAAUUACUGGGCGUAAAGGGCUCGUAGGCGGCCAACUAAGUCAGACGUGAAAUCCCUCGGCUUAACCGGGGAACUGCGUCUGAUACUGGAUGGCUUGAGUGCGGGAGAGGGAUGUGGAAUUCCAGGUGUAGCGGUGAAAUGCGUAGAUAUCUGGAGGAACACCGGUGGCGAAGGCGGCAUCCUGGACCGACACUGACGCUGAGGCGCGAAAGCUAGGGGAGCAAACGGG
rnacentral:rRNA from 1 species